UGCAGUCGACGAGUUCUGAUUAUUGAAAGGUGCUUGCAUCUUGAUUUAAUUUUGAACGAGUGGCGGACGGGUGAGUAACACGUGGGUAACCUGCCCUUAAGUGGGGGAUAACAUUUGGAAACAGAUGCUAAUACCGCAUAAAUCCAAGAACCGCAUGGUUCUUGGCUGAAAGAUGGCGUAAGCUAUCGCUUUUGGAUGGACCCGCGGCGUAUUAGCUAGUUGGUGAGGUAACGGCUCACCAAGGCAAUGAUACGUAGCCGAACUGAGAGGUUGAUCGGCCACAUUGGGACUGAGACACGGCCCAAACUCCUACGGGAGGCAGCAGUAGGGAAUCUUCCACAAUGGACGCAAGUCUGAUGGAGCAACGCCGCGUGAGUGAAGAAGGCUUUCGGGUCGUAAAACUCUGUUGUUGGAGAAGAAUGGUCGGCAGAGUAACUGUUGUCGGCGUGACGGUAUCCAACCAGAAAGCCACGGCUAACUACGUGCCAGCAGCCGCGGUAAUACGUAGGUGGCAAGCGUUAUCCGGAUUUAUUGGGCGUAAAGCGAGCGCAGGCGGUUUUUUAAGUCUGAUGUGAAAGCCCUCGGCUUAACCGAGGAAGUGCAUCGGAAACUGGGAAACUUGAGUGCAGAAGAGGACAGUGGAACUCCAUGUGUAGCGGUGAAAUGCGUAGAUAUAUGGAAGAACACCAGUGGCGAAGGCGGCUGUCUGGUCUGUAACUGACGCUGAGGCUCGAAAGCAUGGGUAGCGAACAGGAUUAGAUACCCUGGUAGUCCAUGCCGUAAACGAUGAAUGCUAGGUGUUGGAGGGUUUCCGCCCUUCAGUGCCGCAGCUAACGCAUUAAGCAUUCCGCCUGGGGAGUACGACCGCAAGGUUGAAACUCAAAGGAAUUGACGGGGGCCCGCACAAGCGGUGGAGCAUGUGGUUUAAUUCGAAGCAACGCGAAGAACCUUACCAGGUCUUGACAUCUUUUGAUCACCUGAGAGAUCAGGUUUCCCCUUCGGGGGCAAAAUGACAGGUGGUGCAUGGUUGUCGUCAGCUCGUGUCGUGAGAUGUUGGGUUAAGUCCCGCAACGAGCGCAACCCUUAUGACUAGUUGCCAGCAUUUAGUUGGGCACUCUAGUAAGACUGCCGGUGACAAACCGGAGGAAGGUGGGGAUGACGUCAAAUCAUCAUGCCCCUUAUGACCUGGGCUACACACGUGCUACAAUGGAUGGUACAACGAGUUGCGAGACCGCGAGGUCAAGCUAAUCUCUUAAAGCCAUUCUCAGUUCGGACUGUAGGCUGCAACUCGCCUACACGAAGUCGGAAUCGCUAGUAAUCGCGGAUCAGCACGCCGCGGUGAAUACGUUCCCGGGCCUUGUACACACCGCCCGUCACACCAUGAGAGUUUGUAACACCCGAAGCCGGUGGCGUAACCCUUUUAGGGAGCGAGCCGUCUAA
rnacentral:rRNA from 1 species